rnacentral:rRNA from 1 species
UAGCUAGUUGGUGAUGGUAAAAGCUACCCACGGCUACGAUCGGUAGCUGGUCUAGAGAUGAUCAGUCAUUAUGGACACUGAGACACGGUCCAUACUCCUACGGGAGGCAGCAGUGGGGGAAUUUUGUGCAAUGGGCGAAAGCCUGACACAGCGACAUCCGCGUGAGCGACGAAGCCUUUUGGGGUGUAAAGCUAUGGAGGCAGGGAAGAAAAAAAUGAACGGUACCUGCAGAGGAAGCAUCGGCUAACUACGUGCCAGCAGCCGCGGUAAGACGUAGGAUGCAAGCGUUGUCCGGAUUUAUUGGGCGUAAAGAGUUCGUAGGCGGUUCGUUAAGUCUGAUGUUAAAGACUGGGGCUCAACCUCGGGAAUGCAUUGGAUACUGGCGGACUUGAGUGCAGUAGAGGCAAGUGGAAUUCCCAGUGUAGCGGUGAAAUGCGUAGAUAUUGGGAAGAACACCGGUGGCGCAAGCGACUUGCUGGGCUGUAACUGACGCUGAGGAACGAAAGCUAGGGUAGCGAAUGGGAUUAGAUACCCCAGUAGUCCUAGCCGUAAACGAUCGUUACUUGGCAUAUCGUGUAUCGACCCCUGAUGUGCCGCAGCUAACGCGAUAAGUAUCCAAUCAGAGUAGCUCAGCCGCAAGGUUGAAACUCAAAGGAAUUGACGGGGGCCCGCACAAGCGGUGGAACAUGUGGUUUAAUUCGAAGCAACGCGAAGAACCUUACCAAGGCUUGACAUCCUUAGAACUCUGCUGAAAGGUGGAGGUGCCCGCAAGGGAGCUAAGAGACAGGUGGUGCAUGGCUGUCGUCAGCUCGUGUCGUGAGAUGUUGGGUUAAGUCCCGCAACGAGCGCAACCCCCGUUGUUAGUUGCCAUCAGGUGAUGCUGGGCACUCUAGCGAGACUGCCGGUGACAAACCGGAG